rnacentral:rRNA from 1 species
CCGACGGUGAGAGGUGAAAGCUGGGGGAGCAAACCGGAUUAGACACCCGGGUAGUCCCAGCUGUAAACGAUGCGCGUUAGGUGUAUCAGUGACCACGAGUCACUGAGGUGCCGAAGAGAAAUCGUGAAACGUGCCGCCUGGGAAGUACGGUCGCAAGGCUGAAACUUAAAGGAAUUGGCGGGGGGGCACCACAACAGGUGGAGCCUGCGGUUUAAUCGGACUCAACGCCGGGAAACUCACCAGUUAA